rnacentral:rRNA from 1 species
AUUGAACGCUGGCGGAAUGCUUUACACAUGCAAGUCGAGCGGCAGCGCGGGGGCAACCCUGGCGGCGAGCGGCGAACGGGUGAGUAACAUAUCGGAACGUACCCCGUCGUGGGGGAUAACACAGCGAAAGCUGUGCUAAUACCGCAUACGACCUGAGGGUGAAAGCGGGGGAUCGCAAGACCUCGCGCGAUGGGAGCGGCCGAUAUCGGAUUAGCUUGUUGGUGAGGUAAAGGCUCACCAAGGCGACGAUCCGUAGCUGGUCUGAGAGGACGACCAGCCACACUGGAACUGAGACACGGUCCAGACUCCUACGGGAGGCAGCAGUGGGGAAUUUUGGACAAUGGGGGCAACCCUGAUCCAGCCAUUCCGCGUGAGUGAAGAAGGCCUUC